rnacentral:snRNA from 1 species
AUCGCUUCUCGGCCUUUUGGCUAAGAUCAAGUGUAGUAUAGAUGUUUGAUAUCAACUAUCUGAAGUAUAGUGUACAAAUAUCAUUUCCCAUUUUCUGGUUUUCCUGUUUAUCAUUAUGGACUUUUC